GUCCAGGCAGGAGCCGGACUGGACCUCAGGGAAGAGGCUGACCCGGCCCCUCUUGCGGC
ensembl:miRNA MIR4673 microRNA 4673